AGCACCUUCCCAUCCUGGCAGAGUCUAUAUUAGAGAGCGGCAAUGGCUCUAUAUAAACAGGGCAGCCAAAGGGAGGAGGACCACAAGGCUCAGGGACUGAAAAGCCGGGUAAGCGGCCGCAGCCAUGAUGGAUCGACCCGAGUCGCCAACGCAGUCAGCUGAGACCUUUGCUGAGACUGUUGAGUGGGACACCUACAUAUGGUCACUGGACGUGGCCUGGGCUCCCUCAAAACAUGGUAGCCAGGGUGGAAAGAAUCAAGAAAACUAAGCUCAAUUUUGCUUUCCCUUUCAUAGCCACCCUUUGCCAAAUAUGGGGCUAAUCACAGAAUAAAAAAGUAUCCUGUUGUGCCUUUUUCCAUUGUCUACUAUGACUCAGCGUGGUGAAUCCUGGGACUAGAGAGAUGGAAAAAGUGUUUUCAUCAAAACGAUCCCAAACCAGGAGGGAAAUGUCUCGAAAACUUCUGUUGCAUAGCGUUAACAUUGCAAGAAUAGAGACAUGUACCAAAGGCCUAGUAGACCCAAAAAGGAAAUAUGUUUUGUACCUCUUCUGAACCUUUUCUAGAGGGCAUGACAGAGGGGGAUUCUCAAGACUGUGUUUUCUAGAAAAUCAUGGAAGUGACAGAUGAACACCAGAAGGAAAUCCUGCCAACACUGAUGUGGAAGGUUCUCUUCCUAACUCCAGUAGUCACAACAAGCCACACUCAAGAGCUACGAGAUCAACAGAGCAAAGAGAAGGAGGCUUAAUUAGACAACAAGCUCCAGAAGUCAGGGAAACCACCUGCUUCAGGCAUAUCAGUCUCUCCAAAGCAGUCACCUCAAGGUUUCCUGUGAGAUUACAGGUAACCGCAAAGAGGAAAGUCCAACAUACUGUUCCAGUAAGGAGUAGCCAUGGUAGGUACUGCCUUGAACUCCAGCUGCUCAGGAAGACAUCCUGUCAUGAUGCUUGGGUCAGGCCCCUCCCGCAAAAGG